AGCUCCAAUAGCAUAUACUAACGUUGUUGCAGUUAAAAAGCUCGUAGUUGGAUUUCUGGUGGAUGGCUAUUGGGUGGGGGCUCGUUCUUCCACUCAUAGUUCAUUCGUCAAAAUUUGUCACUAAGUCUCAUGUGUGAUUCAGUUCACUCUGGGGCCGAAUGACUCGUUUACUUUGAGAAAAUUAGAGUGUUCAAAGCAGGCAAUCGCCUUGAAUAUGUUAGCAUGGAAUAAUAACAUAGGACUUUGGUUCUAUUUGUUGGUUGUUCGAGAACUAGAGUAAUGAUUGAUAGGGACGGUUGGGGGCAUCCGUAUUCCCAAGCGAGAGGUGAAAUUCUUGGACCUUGGGAAGACGAACAGAUGCGAAAGCGUUUGCCAAGGACGUUCUCU
rnacentral:rRNA from 1 species